rnacentral:rRNA from 1 species
UACGGAGGGGGCUAGCGUUGUUCGGAAUUACUGGGCGUAAAGCGCGCGUAGGCGGACCUGCAAGUCGGGGGUGAAAGCCCGAGGCUCAACCUCGGAACUGCCUUCGAUACUGCGGGUCUCGAGUCCGGGAGAGGUGAGUGGAAUUCCUAGUGUAGAGGUGAAAUUCGUAGAUAUUAGGAAGAACACCGGAGGCGAAGGCGGCUUGCUGGGCUUGGUCUGACGCUGAGGCGCGAAAGCGUGGGGAGCGAACAGG